UACACACGGAUAACAUACCGAAAGGUAUGCUAAUACGGGAUAAUAUAUUUGAGAGGCAUCUCUUGAAUAUCAAAGGUGAGCCAGUACAGGAUGGACCCGCGUCUGAUUAGCUAGUUGGUAAGGUAACGGCUUACCAAGGCGACGAUCAGUAGCCGACCUGAGAGGGUGAUCGGCCACAUUGGAACUGAGACACGGUCCAAACUCCUACGGGAGGCAGCAGUGGGGAAUAUUGCACAAUGGGCGAAAGCCUGAUGCAGCAACGCCGCGUGAGUGAUGAAGGCCUUCGGGUCGUAAAACUCUGUCCUCAAGGAAGAUAAUGACGGUACUUGAGGAGGAAGCCCCGGCUAACUACGUGCCAGCAGCCGCGGUAAUACGUAGGGGGCUAGCGUUAUCCGGAUUUACUGGGCGUAAAGGGUGCGUAGGCGGUCUUUCAAGUCAGGAGUGAAAGGCUACGGCUCAACCGUAGUAAGCUCUUGAAACUGGGAGACUUGAGUGCAGGAGAGGAGAGUGGAAUUCCUAGUGUAGCGGUGAAAUGCGUAGAUAUUAGGAGGAACACCAGUUGCGAAGGCGGCUCUCUGGACUGUAACUGACGCUGAGGCACGAAAGCGUGGGGAGCAAACAGGAUUAGAUACUCUGGUAGUCCACGCUGUAAACGAUGAGUACUAGGUGUCGGGGGUUACCCCCUUCGGUGCCGCAG
rnacentral:rRNA from 1 species